AGCGAACGCUGGCGGCAGGCCUAACACAUGCAAGUCGAACGGACCCUUCGGGGUUAGUGGCGGACGGGUGAGUAACACGUGGGAACGUGCCUUUAGGUUCGGAAUAGCUCCUGGAAACGGGUGGUAAUGCCGAAUGUGCCCUUCGGGGGAAAGAUUUAUCGCCUUUAGAGCGGCCCGCGUCUGAUUAGCUAGUUGGUGAGGUAACGGCUCACCAAGGCGACGAUCAGUAGCUGGUCUGAGAGGAUGACCAGCCACACUGGGACUGAGACACGGCCCAGACUCCUACGGGAGGCAGCAGUGGGGAAUCUUGCGCAAUGGGCGAAAGCCUGACGCAGCCAUGCCGGGUGAAUGAUGAAGGUCUUAGGAUUGUAAAAUUCUUUCACCGGGGACGAUAAUGACGGUACCCGGAGAAGAAGCCCCGGCUAACUUCGUG
rnacentral:rRNA from 1 species